rnacentral:lncRNA from 1 species
UUUUACCAAAUCCGGGUUCCAGAUGCCAAGGCAUUCUCUUAGAGUGUUUCAAGGUUCUAAGGAGAUUCAAGAGCCCAGGCAAUGCUUACACCCUAAAGGGUGAAUGUUGUAACAGAGUAGUGCAAUGUGUAGAAUUACCAGCCCUUAGGCAUCCAAGUUUAGAGGGAACUCUAGGGUCCCUAAGCAUGGCUUACCGGAGAUGGGUAGAACUUAAGAGCUAGGAGUAGGUAUAAAGUGAGAGAGGAACCUUAGCAGGAGGUGGUCAUACCCAGCCAUGGCAGAGACUGGCGCAUUGCUAACCUCCUACUCAGAUUCAAACAAAUAAGAGCAGACUCUUAUAGAGUCAAACUCAGGUUUAAAUGGUGAUCAGGACACCAACAGAGCCAAACUAGAGCUCAGCCAUUGAGGGGAAAGGGAAUGGGAAAGCAAUCAAGUAAAGAGUCAGAAGAGUCUAGUUUUGGAUCACAGACAACAAUUCAUUGUGUUGCUAUGACCCAUGACAAUACUCAAAUACAAAGGGAAUAAAGGGAAAUGGAUUAAUCACAACACAAGAGACAUAGUAUGCUUGAAGGUAAUUACAGAGUGCAGGAAAGCAUAAAUAAACACACAAAGAAAGAGGGGUAGAAACAGAGAAGUUGAACAAGGAUGCUAUUUAACAUAGAUGAAAAAAGCAGUUAUAUAUUCUAGAACAACAAAAUAUCAAUAGCAAACAAACAGCCAGGAACAAUAGGAACAUACUCAAGAAAACUCCCUAAGUGCUUAGAAGUUCAGACAGCAGGAAGUAUAGAUAUAGAAUUCUU